rnacentral:misc_RNA from 1 species
AACGGUCUAUACCUGCGGUACCUGCGGAGGGAUCAUUAAAGAGUUGAAAAACUCACCCAAAACCACCGUGAACAUACCUUAUAAUCGUUGCCUCGGCAGGCGGCCCCAGGGCGGGGCCUUGGCCUGGAAUAAUGGUGCCUGCCGGGGGUUUUUUAAACUUCUGUUAUUUUUGUCAGCUUCUGAAUCGGGAAAAACAAACCCAGUCAAAACUUUCAGCAACGGAUCUCUAGAUCGGAAGAG